GGCGUAUCGUAGCUCAGUUGGUUAGAGCACAUCACUCAUAAUGAUGGGGUCACAGGUUCGAAUCCCGUCGUAGCCACCA
rnacentral:tRNA from 1 species